rnacentral:lncRNA from 1 species
CUGGAGUCACCUUGGUGUAUCCUGCUCUUCUGCUGCUGCCCUCCUCUGGGCAUCCAAGACCCUGGGUGCACAGAGGUGCCCACAGGAAACAGACGGCACAGUUCUGCCACCUGGCCCUCCAUGGGCUUCCUAGGGUGCUGCAGACCCACGGCCUGGGUCCCUCCUGAGGGCACACGGGCAGUCCCCUGAGCUCUGCCUCAUCCUCCCCACAGUCCCUCCAAGAGACACUGGUCCCGGGCAAAUGAGCCACAGGAUGGUGAGUCCAAGUGAUGUGCCCAAACCUGGCUCCCUGGCACCCCAGCACACUGACCAAGUGCCAGGAUUCCAGACCCUGCAACAGGGACAAAGCAUGAAGGUCCCAGGAGAGUGGGGUGGGAGCGAGGGGAGACGCGCUCUGAGGUCCUGCCGAGAGCACCCCUGAGCGAGGCAGGCACCACUGAGAAGGCCCCGCUCGCCCCGGCGCGUCCUUUGGAGAGACAGAAGAAGCUCAGGGUCCUGCGCGCUGCCACCUCAGAGAUGGUAAACCAGCAAGUGUUUGCAAACAGCGUCCUCACGAAGACUCCCCUUUGGUUUUGUUUAAUAAUUACUAUUUAGAGAAAGUCAUGACCUAAAAAAAAACAAAACAAAAACAGAACACAAAAGCACCCAGAUGCUGCAUUUGGUUAGUUCCCAAGGAAAUUCAAAUUCAGAGAGAAAAGAAAGAUCCCGGGAAAAGAAUAAAUUGCAAUAUUCCCAAAACUCGGUUUCCGUCACCACCACAGCUGCCCCGAGUGGCUCCCUGGGAUGGAUUUCUAGACAGAAACCCCGAGCACUCUCCCUCCCUGGGGGCCUUUAUUGACGAUGAUUAGUUUGUUUUCCUUUUGUGAAGUAAGAGCUGGGCGCAAAGUUCCAUUCACCCAUUAGUUGAUUCGUCCCGUCAGGAACACAAAAGCUGGCUAUGGACAGAGACUGACCCACAACAGGAGAGUCCAGCAGUCUCUCUGGUGCCAUCGUUCUAAGUGACCCUCCAUUGAGGACCCCAGAGCAAACACAACCUUGCCUGCUCCCUCUCCCACUCCUCGAAGGUGGCGGCCUCUGAGUCCCCUUGGGCUCCAAGGAGGCCCCUGAGUCUGGGGUGGCCACCUGAGAACCUCAGGUCAGGAUCAGAGGACAAAUGCCCUGAAGCCAGCUGUGGUCCAUUCAGGGCUGGCCUGGCGAGUAGCUGCAGGAACCGGUUCACAGGACAGAAGGUCACUGGCAGCCCCGGGCAGGGCAGGGCAGGCCGGGUUUGCAGCCUGCACAGAUCCUUCCUCCCGUUGGGAGAAGCAGAGCAUUGUAUUGACCAGAUCAAGGGCGGAUUUGGUGGCCUAGGCUCCUGUGGGCUGUGAGGCUUCUGCCCUGGGAGGGACACUGACAGUUCAGUCUGCUCCUUCACACAGCCCCCAGGACGUCUGUGACCCUGAAGGAGCUGGAAGAAGUUUUGGUGAGUGACAGCCUGGAUAACCGAGCACUGUCACCCCCAGUGCGUCUCCUCCCUGGUUCUGCUAUUUUUUUUUAAUUCACUUUUAAUUUACACCAAGGCACAUGUUUUUGUACUUAGAAGCCAUCUGAGAGUCCUUCUUGACAGGGACACCCUUGAACUUGGAGCUGUGAGACCAUCACCUGACAGGAGAGAACUCAGAUCCCCCAGGUCAACCCUGCUCAUCUCCCGUGAGGCCUCGCGGCUCCAGGAGGGCCAGGUAAGAAGGGGCAGUUUGGGGACAUGACUUCUGGCACCACAGAAACGACAUCGUGGGCUUCAAAGGGUUUCUGGCGUUAGUGGCCGGAAGUGCUCACAGAGAGGUGCUUCUGUGUCAAAGAACUAGGAUCAGAAUUUCCUGGGGUUCCAAAUACAAACCCACAAAACUAAAAUGCACAUUCUGGGGCCCCUGCCCAAUCAGACACUCAGUGAGUGGGACCCUGAAGCUGUGCCCUUCCCCAGGGGACUUAGGCUCAGUGCAGCCCAAAUGCAGCUGCCCUACAAUCAAGAGGGCAGCCUCUAGGUGGAGGCCAGUCCCCCUGCCAGCAGCUUCCCCAUGGCCACAGCUCUCAGGUCCCUCUAUGGAACCUGCAUGGCCUCCCUGGCCUCCCUAGACAGCACCUGGGGCCCUGGAGCCACAGCUGCAGUCGCCCUCCUUCCUGGACUCUGCCCUUUGCCUCCUGCUUGCCUCUCUGGUGGGGGAGGGGGCUGUGCUGCAGAAGUCCCACUCAGCACCCCAGCCACCUGGGGAGGCUCCCAGCUUGACCCCCACUCACCUGCCAGCACCAUCCACAGCCUCAUCACGGCCUUCACUGAGCAGGACAGGCCCAGGGCCAUGCUAAGUAAAUGUUGGUUGAACAAACAGAGCCUCUUUGUUCCUUUCCCCCAGGACUCGCUCCCAGAUCCCCAACAGGACCCUGCCAGGCUGCACAUGGCGGCCAUCGGUCUCUGGCUGGUGGUUCACAUCUGAGCCCAACUCCACUUGCCCCUCGUCUUCCCCUAAUCUCAACGCCCCUGCUCUAGGAACUGUCCUUGGUGUCCUCCUAGCCACUCAACAAACCUUCCUGGGUGUCUACUGUGGCUCAGGCACAUUGGUGGACCAAGAACCAGCAGAGGAAGGCAGACACGGUCCCCCUGCACCCUCCAGGGCCAGCAAGCACCCCAGCAAUUCCCUCCCCAGCCUUUUGGGUGCCUCGCCCCCUUGUUGGACUCCCGCACCUUUAGGACGACACAACACAUGCUCAGGCGGUGAGAGGACUGUGCCGGCCAGUCUGGAAACCUAUGGGAAAGCCCCCAGAGAGGUCCUGGAGUGGACCAAGCAGGAAAGAACCAGGCCACAGCAAGGGACCUGCCUAAGUCUGAGGAGGGAAAAUGCCCUUGAGCACAGUAGUUGCUCUUUGUCACACUCCUACUAGUGAUAAAAAUCAAGAAAUCACAGCCAGGCCCCUGGCUCAGGAGCCCACAUCCUCCCCCACUGCUCCCAGGCCCUGGGCAGGGACAGCAGAGCAUGUGGAGCUAGCUGACCAGAGUGACCAGGCCUCCGUGCAACCCCAGGACUCCCCCUUGCAGACCCUCCAGAGAGGUCUGAAGCUGCCAGGGACCCUGAGGUCAGCUCAGGGAGGUGGUCCAGGUCGACAGACAUGAGCGGAGUGCAGUGAGGGCCAUGCAUGUGGGCUCCAGAGCCGCCUGCCUGCCACCUCUCACUACCUGGGUCACUUUGGUAACAUUACUUUGCUUCUCAGCUGCCUCGGUUUCCUCAUCAUGGUGAGAGCGCUGUGCCGAGCAUUCCAAGGAGCCAGGUGCAGGGGGCCCUGCCGAGUGACUGCCACCAUUGUUACCAGCUGCCCUCCGUCAAGACACUAGGAAGUGCUCACUUAUCCAAUCCCCCCUCCUGGCCUCUCAGGGAGUGUUCCUGACCCCAGUUCAGACGGGAACCCCUCUGUGGUUGACAUCUCCAUGGCCACCCAGGUCCUGAGAGGGACUUGGACCCAGGACCCGUCUGCACAGCCAUCACAUGGCUCUGCCUUUGCAGGUUCAAGUUCCAGAGCUGGUGCCAGGUCUUCUGCGGAAGCUCUGCAUCCCGCCCACAGCAAGCCGCCAAGCCUACCUGGCGGUCGCAUUCCACAGGUGGACAGGUCCAGAAAGAACCUCCGCCCACUGGGUUUGUGUGAGUGAAGUCCUCCUGGGGUGGGGGGAGGGCAGGCUGGACAGAAAAGCCCCAGGUAAUGUAAAUGGAAACUCUAACCGACAGCCCUGCACCUGGUGUUUUUGCAUCUCCCAGGGAUCGAGUGUGAAGCUUUGUGAGCACUGGCUCCGGGCCGCUGUCAGGUGUGCCUGGAGGGACCUGCUUUGGCCCACGUCUAGGGACAAGCUGGUCUAGGUCUCAGCGCCACUUCACAUCCCAGCCUGGGCAUUCUGUGGCUUAUUUAGACCAACUCUUGGAUGGCCCAGAAAAUGCCUAGGGCCACCCUUGACCUCAACUCUGAGCCAGACUGGGCUGCCCAUUCCCCUGGGGCCCUCCACGACAUUCCCAGCUGCAGACAGGAGCUCUCUUGGCUCCAGAGAAGAGGGAGCAACACCCUGUUUCCCCACAGACUCCAGGGACUCAACAGAGACAAAAGGCCACUUGUCCAGGCUGCAGGCUGCAGGCUGCAAGGGUCACCGCAGGCAGAGUCCCUGCCCUGCAGGCCCUGUUCAUGUUGCUGGAUGUCCGAGCACCUGGCUCCACCUGCGGCAAACAUCCCAACAAUACCCAGGCACAGAAGGACAUCGCCCAAGGACACACAACAUGGAAGGACAAGGGCCCAGGACCCAGGUGUGCCCAAGGCUCCUGCAAUUUGGUUGGACCUCGCUGGGCCUCCCAGACAGAACUGCAGCUCCCCCUGUGUAGGGAACCAGCCCGACCAUGUGGCCAGGCAUUGGACAUCCUCUAGGACAAAGGCACGAGCCUGGGCACUGGGGAAUCCCCAAACUCACAGACAAGGUCCCUGAAUGACCAGCAGUGGGGCGUGGCGGGUAUGACUGUGCGAAUCACCACAGCCACAGGCCCGCCUCAGCAGAGCCGGCCCAGCUGCAGGCAGACAGACAGCCACGUGCUCAGAGUCAAGGACCCAGUCCACAGCACAGUAAGUGCUGACCCAGCCACAGUCGCCUGGAGAGGACCCCUGUCUCUGCAGAGCAAGUGCUCUGGUGGCCAGCCUUGCCCGCAGCCAGAGAAGUCUCCAGAACAGGACACAGCUGCAGGGGAGCCAGCUGGAGCGUCCUGCCCUGAGCAGAACACAAACUCCCACAAAGCUGAGCAGAAAGCCUGUGUGACUGCCCAGGGACCCUGGGUCCCAUAGGCAGGCAACUGCAGGGCCUGACUGUAUCCCCUCCCAGUGCCUGAGCCCCAUGGCCUCACAGGGAAGGGUAGAGCAGACGAUUGUUUACCAAUCUGUUUGCCCUUCCCCAAAAUAGAUUCUUGCCCAAGGGUGUUCCAACUCCCAGGGCUGCUGGCCUGGCCUGGACUUCCAAACCUGCUGUCUGCUGGAGCCCUCUGUGGGAGGUGCCCCUGAAUGAGAUAAUGACAUGGGCAGCUCUUACCAGAAAGAAAGCCCAAGAGCUACAAAGGCAGCUGUUGACCAAGGAGUUUUAGCAACUGAGAAGAAACAGGCUCCACCUCAGCUCACAGCUCAGCUCAGCGGUCACCUGUGGGUCUUUCCCACCUGUCCCCUGUUCCCAUCCUCUUGGGUCCUUCCUGGGUGCCCUCACCAUGAGCACCCUGUCCCUGAGUCCAAGUUGUAGUCACCAGAGGAUUCCAAGGAAAGCUCCUAAAGUGGUGAGCCUGGGCCAGGAGGGCAGCUCUGGCCUGUCACUCCACCUGUGUUGCCAGGUAGGCUGCAGGAGCUGCACCCACAGAGGAAACGACCCGCAACGAGACAGCAACAACAAACCAAAGCGGGCGGACUAUUUUUAUCCUUCCAGAGAUUCGCAGCCGAGACCCUGGCUGCUGAAGGGCGCCCCAGACUUUGAGCAGAUUUCUCUCCCGAGGUCACCUUGAGACCUUCCCUCCUCCAGCCUCCCCCUCGCCCUCCUAGGGGAGCCGGGAAAGUGGAUCAGGUCAGAGCAAAGUACUCUUCACCCUGCCACCUCCACUGGAAAAAUAAUUAGUCGCCAAAUAUUCAGAAUGGGUCACUGCUACCUGAAUCAAUAAGGGGACAUCGGAUACCACUGGAGAGCUGGCCCCUCUUAACCGCAGCUUCAGGCUCCACCCAGGCUGUGCACAGACUCCCACCAGCUGCCAGCAGAAGAGGGCUGACAGCCUGGGCUGCCCUACACCUGGGUCAGCCAGACGCGCUGUGGUGAGUCCCCUUCGUCUCCUGUCACACACACACACACACACACGUGUGCACACAUGCACUACAACACAUGUGCACACACAUUCAGAACACCACACACACACACACCCCAGACGUGUACACGAUUCCCACAGGCACGCACACGCCACACACUCACACCACACACACAUGCACAGUCUCACACCCACACAUGCACAUACAUACCACACACACCAGGAUCACCUGAGAGCUGCAAGGGGAACGCAUCGAGCCAGGAUGCUCACGGGACUUCCCACAAGCUCCCGGAAGGCCCCAGCUCUGAGGUGCACCCAGGAAGGCUGAGAGGAGACUGGACACCCCUGGUCUCCACCCACCCCUCCCUGAGACACGCAGCAUUCAGGAUCACCUCCAGAGAGGCCCUUAGCCCCAGCCCAAUCACUACCUUGCUGCGUGACCUCCAAGAAAUCUCCUCACCUCUUUAAAUCUGGGGCUGUGCCAGCGCAAGAAGGGCAAUUUGAUGUGGUCAUCUGAACAGUGGUGAGGCAGUGCCCUCCAAGACGCUCCAGUCCAAGUGUGGGGUCAUCACAGUCCCCACCCUGCUCUUCAGCCCCUGCUCUUCCAACCCUGCAAAAGUACCCACCUUAUUUGAAUCAGUGCUGUGGACUCGGCCUCCCCUUAAAGAACUCAGGGCUCUCUGGAGACGUCUCAAUGUCAUAGGCAGCUUAGCCCAAAGAAAUCCAGCCUCUGGAACUGCCAUCGGUCCCAAGGAGAAACUGGCAGCAUCAGGACAGGCCGCCUGAGUGGCAUUUGCCUCCACGUAAAGCGGGCACAGUAAAUUAAGUGGGUUCGCAUGCGGCACAGAGUUCAGCUCCCAUGUUUGAAGCUCAGUUAUACCUAAGCAGUUCUCACAUCUGUACGUGGAGAGCAACCUUGUAUUUCUCUAAUAAAAACACAGUAAUCAUUUCAUUAAACGUC